AUGGCUGUCGUCAGCUCGUGUCGUGAGAUGUUGGGUUAAGUCCCGCAACGAGCGCAACCCUCGCCCUUAGUUGCCAGCAUUGAGUUGGGCACUCUAGGGGGACUGCCGGUGAUAAGCCGAGAGGAAGGUGGGGAUGACGUCAAGUCCUCAUGGCCCUUACGGGCUGGGCUACACACGUGCUACAAUGGCGGUGACAGUGGGCAGCGAACCCGCAAGGGGGAGCUAAUCUCCAAAAACCGUCUCAGUUCGGAUUGUUCUCUGCAACUCGAGAGCAUGAAGUUGGAAUCGCUAGUAAUCGCGUAACAGCAUGACGCGGUGAAUACGUUCCCGGGCCUUGUACACACCGCCCGUGGGGCGGGGGCGGCGGGCCGGGCGCGGGGCGCGGCGGGCG
rnacentral:rRNA from 1 species